CCGCUUCUUGAGAGAGGUGUCUGUGUCUUUAAGAGAUGUACACAUUGUCUUCCUAUUUAUUGCCUAUAGUUCGUAGAAAGUUUGUUACGAAAGUGAAAGUAAAAGUGCUCCUGGGGACUAAACAAAAAACCGUGGCGUCAAAGUAAUACAAGUUUAAGUGAGCGGCAAUGGCUGGAAUCCGAGACUUGCUCCGUACCGCUCUGGAUGAUAUAUCAGAAGAUGAUCUGCUGAGGUUUAGGCUUUCUCUCUCAAAAGAUUUGCCUGAGGGCGUUAAGCCCAUUGGAAAGGGCAUACUGGAGAAGAAAGGUGUGAUUGAAAUAGUGGAGCGGAUGGUGGAUGUCCACGGAGAAGAAGGUGCUGGGAGGGUGACACUGCAUGGCCUGAGGAAAAUAGACCUGAACGACCUCGCUCUGAGGCUGGAGAAAGAUCUCGGGGGCAAUGCCAUAGCACAGGCUGUUCCUCCAUGCCCAGAGGGACAGGGCCAGAAUGGGGCGUCAUCCAAGGCAACCUCAGGACCUGUUCCACUGGUGUCCAUCCAGUGUUCUGGAGGGAGGGUUCAGGCACCUACGAUCAGCCAAAGUACAUUUUCUGGUGACACACACAUGACCUUUAAUUGAGACACUGGACAUCCAACAUCCACCUGCGAACCUUCUUUACUCAGAAUCAAUGCGGAAUAACCACUGUUCUGCACCGAAACACUGUUCUUAAACUGGGAUCACUGCAAGGCAGCUGAUCCAAAAUGAAGCUUCAUCACUUGCCCCAAACCUACCAAAGUGUGCCACAGCUGUCACGUCACCAGCGUCCAAUUAGAGCUUGCAUCAAAUUUGAAAUCUAGCCUGCAGGGCAUCAAGUCUGAAAUCUAGCCUGCAGGUCAGCUAAUGGAAUGACUCCGCCAGACCUCCAGAAGAGUCUUGGAACCCCCGCACAACUGCCAGAUCUCUCUGCUCCUCUGGAACCGGCUCAGAACAAUCGGCUGUUCCCUCACUCCGUAGUCACUUCCCCCGAAUCACAAUGCCUGUCUGUACCGGCAAUAGAAUAGAACUUCCUAUGGUGUUCAGCACAAGUGCCAUAAUUUACAAUUUGGCAUUCAGCAGACCGUUCAGCAGGAGUGAAGAUUCAACACCAGCAGCGUCUAUGAUUGACCGCCAAGUGCCGUGAAGACAAGACAUGUGCAUUGACGAUGAGGAUUGGACUACGGACAGCAGAAUCAUUGGUCAUCCUCUGACACAGACUUAUGAACUGCCUCUUCAGAAAGCAUCUUGGCUCCCUUCCCAUCCCUACCCCCAUAACCCUCCUAUCAUUUGUGCUAAUUCAGAUCAUGGUGUUUUAAUGAUUUUAAGUUUUUAUAGAUGUAAUUUGGAUGUAUCCUCUGGCUUGCUCAGGGUGUGGGUUCACAAAUACAAAGUCAUUCCGUCAUCUUAUUUUUAAUUUCCAUUUUUGUUUUAAUAGGUAGGUUUGACUUCAACUGAUGAAGUUGAAGUCAAAGGUGGAUGUUUGAUAACUUUUGUUCAUUAAAUAAAUUAAAUAAUAAUUUUAAAAA